UACAGAGGUCUCAAGCGUUGUUCGGAUUCAUUGGGCGUAAAGGGCGCGUAGGUGGCCCGGUCAGUUCGUGGUGAAAGCGCGGGGCUCAACCCUGCGUCGGCCAUGAAUACUGCCGCGGCUGGAGCACUGUAGAGGCAGGCGGAAUUCCGGGUGUAGCGGUGGAAUGCGUAGAGAUCCGGAAGAACACCGGUGGCGAAGGCGGCCUGCUGGGCGAGUUGCUGACACUGAGGCGCGACAGCGUGGGGAGCAAACAGG
rnacentral:rRNA from 1 species